rnacentral:lncRNA from 1 species
UUGUACUGCUCCCAGCACAGAGGGAACCUGGUGUCGGUUCACAGCCCGGGUCAACAGGUGUUUGUCCAGGAUCUGGUCAGGAGACACACAGACCAGCCGGUCUGGAUAGGAGGCUACGAUGCAGCUCAGGAGGGGAUGUGGCUGUGGAGUGACGGCUCAGCUGUUGACAGUUUCUACUGGGAGGAGGAUGAGCCCAGUAACUCUGGACAGGGGGAGAACUGUAUGGAGCUACACACUGGAGGUGGGCAGGGCUGGAAUGACGUGUCCUGUGCAGAGCUGAGGUUCUAUGUGUGUUCUAUGGAGACAAGAUCUGGUUUAGCAUCAUUGCCAAGUCAGAAGAAAAAACACGAGAGAGAGCUGGUUGAAGAGGUGAGUAUUUAUGACGUCCUGUGGGAGACCAGUGAGAGAGUAGCAGAUGAGAUCCUCGACACAGCCUUCCUCAGGGGGAUGUAUUCCAGACGUCUGCCUGCCCGCUGCUAUGCUGACUUCUGCCACCAGGAGGUGCUAUACCUGGACAGAGUCACCACCAUGCUGCAGGUGAAAAGAAAAUACAUUACAUAAAACCAAUACCAUAAAGAUUUACUUACUAUGACUGUGAUACGUGAUUGUCGUCCCUAGCUAUCUUAAGAUAAGUUGCUCUGUAUAACAGUGUAAAUGUGUGUGUGGGCCAGGUGCUGAUCAGAACAGUCCAGGGUCCUCCAGACAUCAUGAUGUUUCUCCGGAGAACACAUCAACGCUACCAGGAGUCUAUGAAGGAGGCCCAGAUCCAAACUCCACCACACCUGGUAGGAAGCUGUUAUAACAAUCACCCGUAAUAUACAAUUUAAGAUAUAUCUUAAUAUGCAAUUUA